rnacentral:rRNA from 1 species
GAUGAACGCUGGCGGCGUGCCUAAUACAUGCAAGUCGAGCGAACAGAUAAGGAGCUUGCUCCUUUGAAGUUAGCGGCGGACGGGUGAGUAACACGUGGGUAACCUACCUAUAAGACUGGGAUAACUUCGGGAAACCGGAGCUAAUACCGGAUAACAUUUAGUACCGCAUGGUUCUAAAGUGAAAGAUGGUUUUGCUAUCACUUAUAGAUGGACCCGCGCCGUAUUAGCUAGUUGGUAAGGUAACGGCUUACCAAGGCGACGAUACGUAGCCGACCUGAGAGGGUGAUCGGCCACACUGGAACUGAGACACGGUCCAGACUCCUACGGGAGGCAGCAGUAGGGAAUCUUCCGCAAUGGGCGAAAGCCUGACGGAGCAACGCCGCGUGAGUGAUGAAGGGUUUCGGCUCGUAAAACUCUGUUAUUAGGGAAGAACAAAUGUGUAAGUAACUGUGCACAUCUUGACGGUACCUAAUCAGAAAGCCACGGCUAACUACGUGCCAGCAGCCGCGGUAAUACGUAGGUGGCAAGCGUUAUCCGGAAUUAUUGGGCGUAAAGCGCGCGUAGGCGGUUUCUUAAGUCUGAUGUGAAAGCCCACGGCUCAACCGUGGAGGGUCAUUGGAAACUGGGAAACUUGAGUGCAGAAGAGGAAAGUGGAAUUCCAUGUGUAGCGGUGAAAUGCGCAGAGAUAUGGAGGGACACCAGUGGCAAAGGCGACUUUCUGGUCUGUAACUGACGCUGAUGUGCGAAAGCGUGGGGAUCAAACAGGAUUAGAUACCCUGGUAGUCCACGCCGUAAACGAUGAGUGCUAAGUGUUAGGGGGUUUCCGCCCCUUAGUGCUGCAGCUAACGCAUUAAGCACUCCGCCUGGGGAGUACGACCGCAAGGUUGAAACUCAAAGGAAUUGACGGGGACCCGCACAGGCGGUGGAGCAUGUGGUUUAAUUCGAAGCAACGCGAAGAACCUUACCAAAUCUUGACAUCCUUUGAAAACUCUAGAGACAGAGCCUUCCCCUUCGGGGGACAAAGUGACAGGUGGUGCAUGGUUGUCGUCAGCUCGUGUCGUGAGAUGUUGGGUUAAGUCCCGCAACGAGCGCAACCCUUAAGCUUAGUUGCCAUCAUUAAGUUGGGCACUCUAGGUUGACUGCCGGUGACAAACCGGAGGAAGGUGGGGAUGACGUCAAAUCAUCAUGCCCCUUAUGAUUUGGGCUACACACGUGCUACAAUGGACAAUACAAAGGGCAGCUAAACCGCGAGGUCAUGCAAAUCCCAUAAAGUUGUUCUCAGUUCGGAUUGUAGUCUGCAACUCGACUACAUGAAGCUGGAAUCGCUAGUAAUCGUAGAUCAGCAUGCUACGGUGAAUACGUUCCCGGGUCU